UACGUAGGGGGCUAGCGUUGUCCGGAAUCAUUGGGCGUAAAGCGCGUGUAGGCGGCUCGGUAAGUCCGCUGUGAAAGUCGGGGGCUCAACCCUCGGAUGCCGGUGGAUACUGUCGGGCUAGAGUACGGAAGAGGCGAGUGGAAUUCCUGGUGUAGCGGUGAAAUGCGCAGAUAUCAGGAGGAACACCAAUUGCGAAGGCAGCGCGCUGGGACGUUACUGACGCUGAGACGCGAAAGCGUGGGGAGCAAACAGG
rnacentral:rRNA from 1 species